GCAGUAGCCGCGGGAAUACGGAGGGCGCGAGCGUUACCCGGAUUUACUGGGCGUAAAGGGCGUGUAGGCGGCCUGGGGCGUCCCAUGUGAAAGGCCACGGCUCAACCGUGGAGGAGCGUGGGAUACGCUCAGGCUAGAGGGUGGGAGAGGGUGGUGGAAUUCCCGGAGUAGCGGUGAAAUGCGCAGAUACCGGGAGGAACGCCGAUGGCGAAGGCAGCCACCUGGUCCACUUCUGACGCUGAGGCGCGAAAGCGUGGGGAGCAAACCGGAUUAGAUACCCGCGUAGUCCCUGUCUCUUAUAC
rnacentral:rRNA from 1 species